rnacentral:rRNA from 1 species
UACGUAGGGGGCAAGCGUUGUCCGGAUUUAUUGGGCGUAAAGAGCUCGUAGGCGGCUCAGUAAGUCGGGUGUGAAACCUCCAGGCUCAACCUGGAGACGCCACCUGAUACUGCUGUGGCUAGAGUCCGGUAGGGGAGCGGCUGGAAUUCCGGUGUAGGCGGUGAAAUGCGCAGACUAUCAGGAGGAACACCAGCGGCGAAGGCGGCGCUCUGGGCCGGAACUGACGCUGAGGAGCGAAAGCGUGGGGAGCAAACAGG